rnacentral:rRNA from 1 species
UAUCCGGAAUUAUUGGGCGUAAAGCGUCCGCAGGUGGCUAUUCAAGUCUGCUGUCAAAUUCCAGGGCUCAACCCUGGUUCGGCAGUGGAAACUGGAUAGCUAGAGUACGGUAGGGGCAGAGGGAAUUCCUGGUGUAGCGGUGAAAUGCGUAGAUAUCAGGAAGAACACCGGUGGCGAAAGCGCUCUGCUGGGCCGUAACUGACACUCAUGGACGAAAGCUAGGGGAGCGAAAGGGAUUAGAUACCCCUGUAGUCCUAGCUGUAAACGAUGGAUACUAGGUGUUGGACGUAUCGACCCGUUCAGUACCGUAGCUAACGCGUUAAGUAUCCCGCCUGGGGAGUACGCACGCAAGUGUGAAACUCAAAGGAAUUGACGGGGGCCCGCACAAGCGGUGGAGUAUGUGGUUUAAUUCGAUGCAACGCGAAGAACCUUACCAGGGC